GUAAGCAAGAGAUCGAUCCAUU
rnacentral:miRNA from 2 species